UUUUUUUUUUUUACUAAAAGUUCACUAAAAUUUUUUUUACAUUUCAAAUCAAUGGGGAAAAUAUAUGUUAUGAAUUAAAGUUCCCUGGUAGCCUAGUGGUUAAGGACCUGGUGUGGUCAUUGCUAUAGCUCCGGUCACUGCUAUGGUGUAGGUUCAGUGCCUGGCCCAGGAACUUCUGCAAGCCAUAGGUACAUCCAAAGGAAAAAAAAAAAAGAUAUGUUAUUGAAUAAAUCAUGUUGAAAAUAACUGGAUACGUACCUCCCAACACCAAAAUAAAUUUAAAUGGAUCAAAAACAUUUGGAGGAGUUGCCUUCGUGGCUCAGUGAUUAACGAACCAGACUAGCAUCCAUGAAGAUGCAGCUUUGAUCCCUGGUCCCAUUCAGUGGGUUAAGGAUCCAGCGUUGCUGUGUAGGUCACAGAUGCAGCUCUGAUCCUGUAUUGCUGUAGCUGUGGCAUAGGCCAGCGGCUACAGCUCCGACUGGACCUGAGAACCUUCAUAUGCCACAGAACCUUCAUAUGCCUGAGAACCUUCAUAUGCCACAGGAGCAGCACUAAAAAGACAAAAAAAAAAAAAAAAAAAAAAAAAAAAAAGAAAGAAAGAAAGAAAGAAAAAAGAAGAAUUUUGGCCUUGCCCACGGCAUGUGGAAGUUUCUGGGCCAGGGAUAGAACCUGAACCACAGCAGUAACUAAAGCCACAAAAGUAACCUGAACCACAGCAGUGACAAUGCUGGGUCUGGGUCCUUAACCUGCUGAGCCACAAAGGAACUCCCGAAUAGAUCAGAUAUGAAAUGUUGUUAUUACCAAACCAUAAAAGGCCAGAAGAAAACAUAGAAUUGAUUUUUUAGGAGUUUCUGUUGUGGCGCAGUGGUUAACGAAUCCGACUAGGAACCAUGAGGUUGUGGGUUCGAUCCCUGGUCUUGUUCAGUGGGUUAAGGAUCCAACAUUGCCGUGAGCUGUGGCAUAGGUCACAGAUGCAGCACGGAUCUGGCAUUGCUGUGGCUGUGGUGUAGGCCAGCAGCUGUAGCUCUGAUUCCACCCCUAGCCUGGGAACCUCCAUACGCCCAAAAAGGCAAAAAAAAAAAAAAAACAUACAGUAAAUGUGCGCAGGGUAUCUUCACACAUUUGGCCCUUCCAGAUGCCCUCUCUACUCAGCUCCACCCUGCUCUCCAUCUUGUGAAGCUGGCCUGCAGGGGCCUCAGCCACAGAUUCCCUUGCACUGGGUUUCUAGCAGGGCCCCUGGAAUGGAAGCUCUAAUUAGGAGACUGGCAUCUCUCCCAGCAGCUCUUUUCCAGGGAAAGCUCUGGUAACAGCUCCCUCUAGUGGCAUACAUCUGGCAAAGCAACUGCCUGGCUGAGUGGAGCUGCUAACUUAACCGGGGUCACCUCUGGCCUGGAGUUGGAACACGCCCUACCUUGCCCCAGACUUUGAAAUGGGCCUCUUUUAAAAUGCUGCUUCUUUUGUGUACAAACCUCAGGGCACGCCAGUAUGCAUAUUCUCGUGUAUCUGCAGGUUCAUGUGUGAGCCUUCUCCCUGUGAUUACACUGAGCACUCCCUGAGGACAGGAUCCAGUUGUCAUUUUCCUUGUUGCAUAAUAAUUUAAUCCUGACAACAAUCCCAUGGGGCACAUGCUAUUAUUUACGCCUUUUUACAGAUGAGAAAACUGAUGCCCCGAUCAUCACAUAAAUUGUCCAGCAAGUAAGGGGCAGAGCAAAGACUCAGACCCAAGGGGGUGGGAUGGCAAAGCGCCUGCCCUUCGGUCAACACUAGAUAAACAGGCAGUGAGCCUCAUGGCAUGGAGGGGGAAACUGAGGUCUGGAUAGGCACCUGGCAAGCCGAUGUAGACAAGGCUAAAAAGCCAGCCUUCAUUCUUCCCAGCCAGGCCCCCUCCCAGGAUUGGAAGACCAUCCUGCUCCUGCCAGCUUUCCACCCAGCUGGGCAGGCAGGUAGUAGGUGCGAACAGAACAGGAAGGCUCUGAACUCUCUGGCCCUUGCCCUGUACCUCCAACUUGGAAUCCAAAGGAGUCCUGGCCUUCUUGGCCCUGUGCCCCCCCAGGGACACACUUGAUAUGUAUGACAAGGGACUGCCUUCUCCCCAGGCUACUCCUCAUCUCACGCAGGCCCCCCUCCGAGGGCAGGUGGAAGUCCUUGUGCUUAACCACAGCUGUGCCUGUGCUAAGCCUGUGCUAAGCCCCUACAGAGUCCAGGAAAGCAGCUGACCCGGGAAGAGGCCAGGAGCUCUGAAAUGAGCACACUCAUUAGCGCAGUCCUGCUCCCCUGCACACCAGCACCCCCUUUGAGGUCUCUUUCCCUGGAGGGGUGUGCAUGCCCAGGAUACUGGAAAGCCUGCACCACAGUCUGCCCUCCCAGGGGAUAAUGAGAGGGACUCCAGGAAUGGUCAUAGCCCACACCUCCCCCCUGUGCCUUAAGCUGCCACCACGGGCCUCCCACCUGGGGUCAGCUCUGCCUCCAGGCUCCUCUCCUGUACUCUAGGCCCCUCCUCCCGGCAGCCAAAUCCUCACAUUCUCCUUGCCCCAGAAAAGGCGGAAUUUGUCCCUAUCGCCAACCUGAAAGACUUCCUAGACACUUGCUACAACUGUUUUCUUCAAAUUCUACAUUUUUUCCCAGUAGCUGGACUUACUAUGCCCCACUUCUCCUUCCCCUGCCAAAAAGAAGUCAGGCUUGUGAUAUUCCGGGAGGAGAGUUCUGCUCCCCAGCAGCUGUCCAAUUCUGAGCCCCUCUUCCUAACCCCAGAUCUCAGGUCAGGAUCGGCCCCCAUCCUUCUGCUUGGAGCUGGAGCAGCAAUAAUGUAAUUUGGGCUGCUCCCUCGUGGCCAAUCAGAGAAAUACAGGCUUCUUGAAGCCACUGAUUCCGUCACCUCCUGUAGCCCUGGAGACCCCAUCCCAAAUAAACAGACAAUCUAAGGAAAAGUGAGUUUAGCCUCAAGUCCUUCCCACCCAGAAACUGUCCAGAGGACUCUCCCUGCAAUCCCUUCCCCUUCAUUCCCUGGCCUGGUCUUCAGAGACCCACCCAAAGUAGAAAUUACACAUCCAGAUUACUUUUUUUUUUUCUUUCUGGGCUGCAGGUGUGGCAUGGGGAAGUUCCCACCUAGGAGUCGAAUUGGAGCCACAGCAAUGCCGGAUCUGAGCUGCAUCUGUGACCUACAGCACAGCUCAUGGCAACACCAGGUCCUUAACCCACUGAGUAAGGCCAGAGAUUGAACCUGUAUCUUCAUGGACACUAGUCAGGUUGAUCACCAAUGAGCUGGGAUGGGAACUCCCCAGCUUCCUGAUGGGAGUUCAUCUUCUGUUCUCUUACUUUCAGAGACAGGGAACUCACUACCCCAAGGCUGACCCAUGACCUUUUCUGUUCUGGAGGUAAUCAGGAACACUGAUGGUGUUGACCCACCCCUGAUCUCCUAGGACUCACACUGCUCACUCACCUGGAGCAAGAGGUGAGCACACAGGGUUACAGGUGCACCGACUGGCACAGAGAUGGGCAUGGCCAGUGCUAAAAGAACCUACUCCCCCGCCUACAUCUUCUUAGGGGUCUCAUAAUAAAAGGAAUUAAACCCUAGAAUCUUAAAGAUAUCUUGGGUCAGGCUGCCCCCUUAAUUCUGCUCUAGAAUCAGCCAGAGUCCCCUGAACACUUGCUCUCUGCCAGGUCCCUCUUGGUGCUUUACCCCACUUAGUGCUCACAACAGUCUGAGGGCAGCAUGCUCAUGCCUGCCAGGCAUCUGGGCAUGGGGUGCCAAGGGGGAGGUCACCUGCCCAGGACGACAUGGCCAGUCAUUUGCAGAGUCAGACAUGACUCUGGUGACUCCUGCAGCUCCUGCAGAAUACCCUGCCCCAAUGCAUGACAUCUGGGCCCAAGCAAGGUCUGCUGAGAAGGUUUGGGGCAGACUGUGAGGCCAGAAGUUUGAUCCCAGCCUGCCCCCUCAUGCCCCUCCCCUCCAGCCCUGCCUCCACCAGCGGCCCCACUUUGGGACCCAAGGUUAUCCCACUCAGACCCUCCUGCCCUGCCCCAGCAGCUCCUCUAAACCUCAGUGGAGGACUGGCAGGAAGGCUGUGAACAUGUGCCCCAGCUCACUGCCCCUUUACUGCCUAGCAACUGGUGACCUGGGGCCUCUGAAGUGGCCUGGCAUCUGAGAGCAAUUCUCUUGGGGCAGGGGAGAGAGCCAAGGCUUUGAGGAGGUCCUGCAAAUCACUUUCUGUGGGCCCCCCUUGCCAUACAGAUAAGAUCUAGAUGCUACUGUUUUCCUUGAAAGAUGAUGAUGAAGUGAAAUCAAAUGUAGAAACACCCUGCUGUUCAGAAGAGCAUGCCUGCCUUCUUGGCCUCACCUUGCUCUUGUUACUCAGGGGAACCCCAGAGGGCGUCAGCAAUGCUCAGGCCAGUCCAGGCACUCGGGGCCAGCAUGGUGGUGGCCUUGGAAUCAGAAAGCAGCCCAAGGUGGGGGACCCUGGGGAACUCUGGCAGCCAGGUGCUGAUCUGGCUGUCCCCCACCAGCACCCCGUGUGGAAAAAGCCCUUCCAAAGGCAGACAAUAGCCAGUAGGAGUGGUUUCUGGAAGGGCUGGAUUCUGCCUCUCUGUGAAGGGAUGACCAACCCACUCAGGCUUUCUGGAAAAGGCCUUAUCUCCUCCCUUUCUAGCUGCGCUGGGUUCUCUGUCCUCAUCUACCCUGGCCAGCCCUGCUCAGAGCCUGCCCUGCGGCACUCCUAAUUGGCGAGGGUCAGCUCUGUCUCUGGUCCUAAUUGAGCCCAGGACAGGGUCUUACCCAGGCUCCUAGAGGCCAGUUUUUCCAGAGCAGACACCUGCUCUGCAGCUAAGGCCCUGGGGCUGCUGGCCAGAGCUGGGUGAUUUUGCUCUGCCUGCAGACCCAUCACUUUCUCU
rnacentral:lncRNA from 1 species